UUACAUAAAGACUUUAUUUAGACAAAACUUCUGGCACAUUAAUUCAUACUUGAAUACAUCUGAAACAAAGUAUUCAAUUCAUCCUACACUUCACAAUAAAUACUGAGCGUUUACGCGGAGUAUGUGAUUUGCAUCUGGCCACCUAUCUCAUCUUUAAUCACAGUCAUGUAAUGACAAAACCACAACAUUCGGUAACUCUCGUCCAGUACCGAACACAACCGAAAUAGCAGGACGUACGACUGCGACUGCGUCAUUUGGUUCGGUCUACAGAACAGUAAAGAUUGGCAAGAUGGAUGUCUUACUUUCUCAACCCAAAUAUGACAGUGAUCACAUCGAUCCAAGUAAAGGUUGCUUUUUUUAUUUCACAAAAUCCGUCUCCUGAAUUUCCAAGCUAAGCCACAUCACCAAACAUCCCGGAAACAAAACGUACUGAGCAACGAUUGGACUACACCGUGCUGCGCAACAGCAAUGGGCCGUAUGCAAAUUCCAAUACUCGACAUGACACGACAGUGAUCCUGAGAGUGUGUGGUUCAGUGUUGUGGUAGAGUGGCUUUGCAGCAUUGUCCAAGCAUGAUCUCAAUAGAUGAAUGAAAAUUCAAACACUUAUGGUCAUUCACGCCGUGGUGUUUCAGCAUGGUACAACAAAGAGCUAAGGGACUUGACGUCAGGGUCAAUCUGAUCGUCAACUACGGCAGGCAACUGGGCCGCAGUCUGUUGCUUCUUGCCCACUACACCACACUUUUUGCACAGUUCCUGUCAAGCUCAGUGAGGUGUAUGGUAGAGGUUGCAAGGUGGACCUCACUGUUUGCUCGGGGCACAACAACUGUGUUCGGGUCCAUUUACAGACAACUGAACAGGUUGGGGAGGAGGACAGUCGAACCCCCAGUGCCACAGCGGUCAUCUUCGUCAGUGGCUCGCAGCGUCAGUGAUCAUGAGGUUGAGAGAUGAGGAAAGCAGCGCUCAGUGUUGGUCGUUUCAACUCUAUCCACAGUGAAUCAGAAAAGCCUUAUGGGAAUUGUUAUAUUGGUUUCAUUUUUUUUAUGUGUGUGUGUUGGGGGGGGGGUAUUUUAGGUGCAUCAGGUCACCUUUGUACCAAACAAUAGUGUUCAAAAUGAUGGACAAGUGAGAAAUCUGAACAGGCCAGCCUGCACUAGGUUACUAAUAUAUUGUUGCAUCAUAUCUAUAUGUUUUAUAUUUCAUAUACAAUAUGUCCAUGUAUUUUUGUAUGUAGGCUAGCCUUCAUACUCUAACCACUAAAAUCACAUUAGCCUAUACUAAGAUAGCAGAGCUAUACACCACCCUUUUAUGUCCAGAACCAUUAAUUAUAUUAUUGGUCAAUCCAGAAAGGGGCAUUGGAGCUCUCUGUCUUCUACUGUACAAUCCAAGGCAAGUAUGACAGGCUACUUAUCCAAGGGGUCAAAACAUUCGCCUACUUUUGAGUCGUGAUUCAUGUAGCACUGAUUAUCAGAAAUGAAUGUACAAUUGUGAUAGAGCCAGUUGAAAAACAAAGAAGUAUUUUCUAUAUUCAAAUAUUCAGCACUAUACCACUCACUAAUUUGCUCCAGGUUAUUAUCUAUUUAAAGUUUGGUUGUUUUGUUACUUUUUGUUGGUUUGGUGCUAUAGGUUUAUGUAAGCGAGUCAGGAUUGUUUAAAGUUUAAUGAGAUCAUGGCUACAAGUACUGAAACAACCCAAUGUAUAUGAUAUGACAUUACAUUUUGUAUUACCAUUAUUUUUUUUCGUAUAAAAGUUUCAUUUAUGUUACUCACUUUUAUAACAUGCCAGUAUAUGUUGAAACAAAUGUAUGCUACAUUGUACUGAUCACUAAAUAAGUCAGAAAUCUUUUUAUCAGAUGUAUGGGAAGUUUACAUUUUCCUAUAACUGUUCUACACUGAAUGUUUAAAUACUGUAUUUUAGACACCUGUGAUAUCCACAUACAGAUAUGUUAAAGUAGCUUGAAUAUAUUACAACAUUAAAAAGGCCUCUAUUAAUUGCAGUGUAUGGUUUUGAAUUUGACUUGUCAAAUAAACUCAUCUUAAAAACA